rnacentral:rRNA from 1 species
AGUCGACGGCAGCACGGACUUCGGUCUGGUGGCGAGUGGCGAACGGGUGAGUAAUAUAUCGGAACGUGCCCAGUCGUGGGGGAUAACGUAGUGAAAAUUACGCUAAUACCGCAUACGAUCUAAGGAUGAAAGCGGGGGAUCGCAAGACCUCGCGCGAUUGGAGCGGCCGAUAUCAGAUUAGGUAGUUGGUGAGGUAAAGGCUCACCAAGCCAACGAUCUGUAGCUGGUCUGAGAGGACGACCAGCCACACUGGAACUGAGACACGGUCCAGACUCCUACGGGAGGCAGCAGUGGGGAAUUUUGGACAAUGGACGCAAGUCUGAUCCAGCCAUUCCGCGUGCAGGACGAAGGCCUUCGGGUUGUAAACUGCUUUUGUACAGAACGAAAAGGUCUCUAUUAAUACUAGGGGCUCAUGACGGUACUGUAAGAAUAAGCACCGGCUAACUACGUGCCAGCAGCCGCGGUAAUACGUAGGGUGCAAGCGUUAAUCGGAAUUACUGGGCGUAAAGCGUGCGCAGGCGGUUAUAUAAGACAGAUGUGAAAUCCCCGGGCUCAACCUGGGAACUGCAUUUGUGACUGUAUAGCUGGAGUGCGGCAGAAGGGGGGUGGAAUUCCGCGUGUAGCAGUGAAAUGCGUAGAUAUGCGGAGGAACACCGAUGGCGAAGGCAAUCCCCUGGGCCUGCACUGACGCUCAUGCACGAAAGCGUGGGGAGCAAACAGGAUUAGAUACCCUGGUAGUCACGCCCUAACG